CCUACGGGAGGCAGCAGUGAGGAAUAUUGGUCAAUGGGCGCGAGCCUGAACCAGCCAAGUAGCGUGAAGGAUGACUGCCCUACGGGUUGUAAACUUCUUUUAUAAAGGAAUAAAGUGAGGCACGUGUGCCUUUUUGUAUGUACUUUAUGAAUAAGGAUCGGCUAACUCCGUGCCAGCAGCCGCGGUAAUACGGAGGAUCCGAGCGUUAUCCGGAUUUAUUGGGGUUAAAGGGAGCGUAGAGGGGUGGUUAAGUCAGUGUGAAAAUUUCGGGGCUCAACCCCGUAGUGCCGUUGAAACUGGCGGUCUGGAGUGAACUAGAGGUAUGCGGAAUGCGUGGUGUAGCGGUGAAAUGCAUAGAUAUCACGCAGAACUCCGAUUGCGAAGGCAGCAUACCGGCGCGCAACUGACGCUGAUGCACGAAAGCGUGGGUAUCGAACAGGAUUAGAUACCCCAGUAGUC
rnacentral:rRNA from 1 species